UGAGGAAUAUUGGUCAAUGGACGCAAGUCUGAACCAGCCAUGCCGCGUGCAGGAAGACGGCUCUAUGAGUUGUAAACUGCUUUUGUACUAGGGUAAACGCUUCUACGUGUAGGAGCCUGAAAGUAUAGUACGAAUAAGGAUCGGCUAACUCCGUGCCAGCAGCCGCGGUAAUACGGAGGAUCCAAGCGUUAUCCGGAUUUAUUGGGUUUAAAGGGUGCGUAGGCGGUUUGAUAAGUUAGAGGUGAAAUACCGGGGCUCAACUCCGGAACUGCCUCUAAUACUGUUGAACUAGAGAGUAGUUGCGGUAGGCGGAAUGUAUGGUGUAGCGGUGAAAUGCUUAGAGAUCAUACAGAACACCGAUUGCGAAGGCAGCUUACCGGCGCUCAACUGACGCUCAGGCACGAAAGUGCGGGGGUAUCGAACAGGAUUAGAUACC
rnacentral:rRNA from 1 species